CAGGGCACUCAUCAAUGUUUGUUAAUCAAAAGCUCAGUAGACCUUCGAAAUUCAUCAUGUCUCUGUCAAGUUCACAAGGCAGUGGUGACUUUGAUGGUUUACAUCACUCCGUUGGCUUCCAUAGAGUCCCUGAAAUGAUGAACGGUAUUAAAAUGAAGGAAGGAGUAGAAACUGCUUGUCCAGUUAUAGAAAUCAAUUCAUUUGCUUCUUGCAAUCAUUUCUCAAUUCGGGAAUUAAAUUUUCUGAGAAACAACUAAAGCAUGCAGAUUAAACAAAACAACGAACCUUUAUUGAGGUUUAGUUGAAAAGUUGGGAGUUGAUUUUUUGGGAAUAGAUGAUCAAUUGGAAACGCCAACAAUAUUAUUCCCGAAAUUGAAAAAACUCUGUUUCGAAAGCAUGGUGAAGUGGGAAGAUUGGGAAGGAGUUGAAGGGCACAGGGAGGGAGAGGAUUCUGAAAUUAAAUUAAUGCCAUCUCUUUCAACCUUAAGAAUCAAGUUAUGUCCUAAUCUGAAAGCAGUGCCGGACUUCCUGUGGAAGACGCCUCUGCAGAAAUUAGUCAUUAGUAAGUGUGAGAAUAUUCUCCAAGGUUGCGAAACAGCAAGUGGCAGGGAGUGGGACAAGGUCUCUCACAUCCCAAACAUCAAAAUUAAUUCUAAAUUUGUACAAAAAGACGGAGUUCGGAUGGAGCCAGAGACAACAGAGAUUUCAUGAUGCUGAACUGAUGAAGAUGACGAUGAUGGGCUCUGCAAAUCUCAUCCACCACUUCUGAUUUCGUUUUUGCUUUCAAUUCAAGUGGCUGCUGCAUCCUCUGUAAUCUUCCAACAGUACAUAAUCUUCGGUGAGAAGAAGGUAAGUUUUUCCUGCUACAUUAGUUUCCUAGUCAAAAUCACUUCGUUUUAACAUGUUUAUCUAGCUCCGGAGAAUUGAUGAUGAUGAUGAUGAUGGGCUCUGCCAAUCUGAUCCACCUCCUCUGGUAAUCUUUUCCAUCACUGCAUAAUCUUCUACGAGAAAGAAGGUAUUCCCUCCUCCCUCGUGGCUGAGUGUAGAUGGUGUCCUACUUCUCAAACACAAUUAGACUACACUAGACGAUUACUUGUCAGACAACCCGAACCAACAAUAACUUCUCAUGGAAUGAGUGCCUCUGCUAGCGUAAUUAACUUUCUCAAGAUGGACUUCUUGAUUACCCAUUUUCAUCACGUCUGUCAAAAUUGAGAUGAAGAUGGAGUUCUGAUGGAGCCAGCACAAUAGAGAAUUCAUGAUGAUGAAGAUGACAACGAUGGGAUCUGCCAAUCUCAUCCACCAUUUCUGUGGCUGUAUGUAUCCUCGGUAAUCUUCCAACAGUGCAUAAUCUUCCAUGAGAAGAAGGAGAGCCAACACAACAGGUCUUUACGAGUCCUUCUCCGGAUGCCUAAAUAACUUGAUCAAGAUGGAAUUGGGCAGAGUGUCUUGAGAUCCAUAGAAGGCUUGUUCCUCUCCAAGAUCCAGCAGGCUUGCAAACUGUGCUAGGAUCAUUGCAUCUCAAUCAAUGCAUGUGGAGUUGAUUUGCUCACUUUUUUCAAUAAAAGAAGUGAAUUUUCCAAAGCAAAGAAGUUAGUUUGCUCAAUAUUCAUGGAGCCCAAGUGCUUAAUCGGCUCAAGAAAAGUGCAACCGAACAUUCUGCUGAAAAUCCAAUUGAGUGGAUAUGCACCAGUUCUCCAGCUACAAUUUCCAGUCCAGAGAGCACGAUUUCUUGAUUGAGUGUUGGAUGUCACAAGAAUAUCUUAGUAUGAAUGGAGAAAAAGAAAGAAUAAUAGGCCAACAGUACUUUGAUAACUUAGUGAUGCGUUCUUUUUUCCAAGAUUUUGUUAUAUAUGAGAACAAAGAUGAUAUUAGC